rnacentral:rRNA from 1 species
UACGUAGGGUGCAAGCGUUACUCGGAAUUACUGGGCGUAAAGCGUGCGCAGGCGGUUAUGCAAGACAGAUGUGAAAUCCCCGGGCUCAACCUGGGAACUGCAUUUGUGACUGCAUGGCUAGAGUACGGUAGAGGGGGAUGGAAUUCCGCGUGUAGCAGUGAAAUGCGUAGAUAUGCGGAGGAACACCGAUGGCGAAGGCAAUCCCCUGGACCGGUACUGACGCUCAGGCACGAAAGCGUGGGGAGCAAACAGG